rnacentral:rRNA from 1 species
CAUGCAAGUCGAACGGAAAUCUUUUAGAGAAAUCUUUUAGAUUUUAGUGGCGAACGGGUGAGUAACACGUAAGCAACCUGCCUUUAAGACGAGAAUAACAAUUGGAAACAGUUGCUAAGGCUGGAUAGGAAAUAAAAAGGCAUCUUUUUAUUUUUAAAAGACCUUCUUCGGAGGGUAUGCUUAAAGAGGGGCUUGCGUCACAUUAGUUAGUUGGUAGGGUAAUGGCCUACCAAGACGAUGAUGUGUAGCUGGACUGAGAGGUUGAACAGCCACAUUGGGACUGAGACACGGCCCAAACUCCUACGGGAGGCAGCAGUAGGGAAUUUUCGGCAAUGGAGGAAACUCUGACCGAGCAACGCCGCGUGAACGACGAAGUACUUCGGUAUGUAAAGUUCUUUUAUUGAAGAAGAAACAAUAGUGGAAAAACUAUCUUGACGUUAUUCAAUGAAUAAGCCCCGGCUAACUAUGUGCCAGCAGCCGCGGUAAUACAUAGGGGGCGAGCGUUAUCCGGAAUUAUUGGGCGUAAAGGGUGCGUAGGCGGUUUAAUAAGUCUCUAGUUUAAUUUCAACGCUUAACGUUGUUCUGCUAGAGAAACUGUUUGACUAGAGUGAGAUAGAGGUAAGCGGAAUUCCAUGUGUAGCGGUAAAAUGUGUAAAUAUAUGGAGGAACACCAGAGGCGUAGGCGGCUUACUGGGUCUUUACUGACGCUGAUGCACGAAAGCGUGGGGAGCAAACAGGAUUAGAUACCCUGGUAGUCCACGCCGUAAACUAUGAGUACUAAGUGUCGGGGUUAAACUCGGUACUGAAGUUAACACAUUAAGUACUCCGCCUGAGUAGUACGUACGCAAGUAUGAAACUUAAAGGAAUUGACGGGAUCCCGCACAAGCGGUGGAUCAUGUUGUUUAAUUCGAAGAUACACGAAAAACCUUACCAGGUCUUGACAUACUCUGCAAAACUAUAGAAAUAUAGUGGAGGUUAUCAGGGAUACAGGUGGUGCAUGGUUGUCGUCAGCUCGUGUCGUGAGAUGUUAGGUUAAGUUCUAAAACGAGCGCAACCCCUGUCGUUAAUUGCCAGCACGUUAUGGUGGGGACUUUAGCGAGACUGCCAAUGAAAAAUUGGAGGAAGGUGGGGAUUACGUCAAAUCAUCAUGCCCCUUAUGAUCUGGGCUACAAACGUGAUACAAUGGCUAUUACAAAGAGUGGCUUAAACGCGAGUUUUUGGCAAAUCUCAAAAAAAUAGUCUUAGUUCGGAUUGAAGUCUGCAACUCGACUUCAUGAAGUUGGAAUCGCUAGUAAUCGCGAAUCAGCAUGUCGCGGUGAAUACGUUCUCGGGGUUUGUACACACCGCCCGUCAAACCACGAAAGUGGACAAUACCCGAAAGCGACAGCCUAACUGCGUAAGC